UCAAUGACCACAACUAAUUCUAUUAUUUUUCUACCUCUAGACAUCCAAACCCUAAUUUUUUUUUGAUUCAUCAUCUUCCCAAAAGAGAAGAGGGAUCCGCCACUUCCUCGUCUCUCCAACAAAAAAACUCACGCUGCCAUUGUCUCCUCCACUGCCUCACUUCCUUCUCCGGCGAACCCUCUCCCUCACACGCUGCUCGCCGCCCGUCAAGAACCACCAACCUUCGCCGUCUCCUCUCCGCGCGAGCCGCUGUCCAGAGAAGAAAGCAGCAACCACCCGUCACCGGCGAACAGCGAGCUCCGAGCUCGCACGAUGAACAAAAGCCCACGUUGAUCCACCAUCAGCAGCCCCUGCUUCUUCUUCCUCUUCCUCUCCACCGCUGCAACAGCAACUUCGACGAACACACCGAACAAGCUGCAACGACGAACAGCAACCUGCAAGCGGCCAUGGCUGCGCUGUUUCUCCUUCAAUCAGCAGCUCCUCUGCAACCUACAACCAACAGCAACACCAACGCAGCAACAUCACCCAACAGCUGCAACAGCAAAACCUCCAACCAGUCAGCGCCGCCCUCCGUGUUCUCUCGUCAAAGCCGACGAGCAACACAAACAAAGAGCAUCGAUGCUCCAGUCAAAUUUCGGCCAAGGAUUCUAGGAUAAAUCGACAAAGGUGAGGACGAGGCUUUAAUGGAUUCUUAAGAUCCGACCUUGUUAUGGUUACUAAGACUCAUAUUUGGCACGUAUUUUUUUUUUAACAGAUCUAAAGUUCAUACUCCGUAUAGAAUUAUUGUACUAAUGUUAGUCUGAUCAUAUUUCUUUAUUCAUGAUUCUUAAUAUUUGUUACUGAAACUUCGUUUCCAGAACCGUAUGUAGUUGGUUUGUGUUACUUGCAUGAGGCAAAUUUUUUGUCAUUUGUGUUAAAAUUGUUAACUACAGGUUGUUCAAAUAUAUGCCCUCUAUAAUUUAUUUUUAGCAAGAACCUCGAUAUUGGCUGAUAACAGUAAUACAGACCUGUUCAUAUCUUUUUUUUUUAGAAGAUCCUUAAUUAACUUGUUGAAUCUUCAUGUGUGUCUAAUUAGCUUUCUAUUAAUUUUGGCAUGGAAUUAAUCAUCUCUAGCAUAUAUUGCUCUCUUAGUUGAUUCUGUAGAUUAUCAAAUCUGAUUUGUUGACUGAUCGACACUUCAAAAAUUGGGAGGGGCCAAUCUGAUAAACCUCCCCAACAUCUUCUGCUCUUCUGUAGUCAUAACUGGCCUAGCUACCAUAUGCUGAACAACUGUGGGGAUGAUGUCCGUUGUGGAAAUGGGUUAAAAUGGCACUUUGGUACCAAGAACGAGAAGAACGAAUCCAGAAAGGGAAGACUCUUGCAUUGUAAGGUUGUGAAAGCUUGAAUUUGAGGGAAACAUGCUAGUGGAGAUGCAAUUUGGAGAACUUUAUCUUCGGCUAUAAGAUCUAAGGGGGACAUUGUCUUAACAGUUGCGUCUAGCGUAAUUGCAUCUCUUUUAUUACCGGGAGGCCAUAAAGAUCAUUCAAAAUUUGCAAUACCAUUAAUUGCAACUGAAGAUUCAACAUGUAACAUAAAACAAGGCAGUCCUCUUUCAAAUUUGAUUAUAAAGACAAAGUUAAUUAUUUGGGAUAAGACACCUAUGAUGCAUAGAUAUUGUUUUGAAGCUCUUGACAAAACUCUAAGAGAUAUUCUUAGAUUUCAAGAUGCUUCCAAUUUGGAUCGGUCAUUUGGAGGUAAAACAAUUGUUCUUGGUGGUGAUUUCAGAUAAAUUCAUCCAGUCAUUCCAAAAGAAAAUAGGCAAGAUGUUGUUAAUGCUACUCUUAAUUCUUCAUAUUUAUGGACUAGCUGUCAAGUCUUAAAGCUAACCAAAAUUAUGAGGUUAGAAGAAAAUCAUGCGGAUUCAGAUUUGGAGGAUUUGAGAGAAUUUGCUGAUGGUAAAAUUGGUAAUUCAGUUGAUGGUAUUGAAAAAGUUCGCAUCCCCGAUGAUCUUCUAAUUGAGAAUUGUGAUGAUCCAAUUUCUGCAAUUGUGAAAAGUACAUAUCCAGUUUUGUUUAGUCAUUUUAAUGAUAUAACAUAUCUACAAAAAGAGGAAUUCUUGCUCCCACUCUUGACAUGGUUGAAUCAAUCAAUGAACACAUGAUUUCACUCGAUCAAAGUGAAGGAACAACAUUCUUCAGUUUUGAUACCAUUUGCAAGUCCGAUGAUGCAUUCACAGGUUUGGAACGAGUACAUACUACAGAAUACCUAAACACUAUUAAGUGCUUUGGAAUUUCAAAUUAUAUCAUCACUUUAAAAGUUGGUGUACCGGUGAUGUUAUUGAGAAAUAUAGAUCAAUCUUCAAGGCUAUGUAAUGGAACAAGAUUAAUUAUCACUAGACUUGGAAAUCGGAUUAUCGAAGCAAAAGUUUUGUCAGGUAAUAUGAUUGGACAAAAGGUGUUCAUACCAAGAAUGUCGUUGACUCCAUCUGAUGUAAGAAUACCAUUCAAGUUUCAACGAAGGCAAUUUUCUAUAGUUGCAUUUUUUGCCAUGACUAUAAAUAAAAGUCAAAGGACAAUCAUUGUCUCAUGUUGGGUUAUAUUUGAAGAAAUCAGUAUUCACACAUGAUCAACUAUAUUGGGUUAUAUUUGAAGAAAUCAGUGUUCACACAUGAUCAACUAUAUGUUGCAUUAUCACGGAUUACAAAAAGAAAGGGAUUAAAAAUUUUGAUUUAUGAUGAUGAAGGAAUAAUUUCAAGAGAAGCAACAAAUGUAGUGUACAAAGAAGUUUUUCAAAAUGUACAUGGUGAAUGAAAGCAAAUGUGAUCUUAAAUUUCAAAUUUUAUAUGCUAAUAUAUUAUUUGUUUUCUGAUACAACAUCAUGGAAAUAAGCUUCAAAAGAAUUUAUCACGAACUUCAUUUGGAAGAUUGUUAUUGCUGGAGUAUCUCAAAUUUUGAAUUGUUACAACUUGAUAGAUGAUGGUUAUAUUUGAGUUGCAUGAUGUUUUAAAAAUAAGUUGGAACAAGAUGAAACAUUUAGAUCGAGUAUAUUUUCUUAUUAUGUUGUAGCAAGUGUACUUUCUUUACAUUUUGUAAAAAUUAUUAUAUUAUCGUGUUGUAGAAAUAGACUU